CCCAGUUAAAUUUAUAUUUCAGAUGAACAAAGGGUCAUUUUUAACCUAAGUUAUAUCCUAUGCAAUAUUUGGGACAUACUUAUACUGAAAAAUUGUUUGUUUAUCUGAAAUUCUCAUUUAACUGAGUGUC
rnacentral:miRNA from 1 species